GACCUUCUGCAGAUUCUGUGGUUAUACUCACUCCUCAUCCCAAAGAAUGAAAUUCACCACUCUCCUCUUCUUGGCAGCUAUAGCAGGGGCCCUGGUCUAUGCUGAAGAUGCCUCCUCUGCCUCGACAGAUGCUGAUCCUGACCAGGAAGCUGGGACCUCUAAGCCUAAUGAAGAGAUCUCAGGUCCAGCAGAACCAGCUUCACCCCCAGAGACAACCACAACAGCCCAGGAGACUUCGGCAGCAGUUCAGGGGACAGCCAAGGUCACCUCAAGCAGGCAGGAACUAAAUCCCCUGAGUAAGUCUCUGUCUCUAUGCCAGAUCAACAACCUAGAAAAGUCUCUGGCUGCAGGCCCACAUCACACCUCCACGCACAGAGAUAAGCCUGGUGAGAAGCAGGUAGACUCAGACACCUGAACACAAAGGCACAAAUGGGAUUGUGCAUUGCACCCACACACAACGUUUCCACAAUUGUAGAUGUUGCGGCCUGCACUAUACAUGGUUUCUGUCCUGGCUCACACAACUUCCUAUGAGAGAAGUGCUGGAGCCCUCAGCAAAACUUCUGCACUUUAGGACUUUCUGUAGGGAUGAUGUCCUGGGUGGAGUGGGGGU
rnacentral:sRNA from 1 species